UUAACAAGCCACUGCAAUUGGACAUCUCCACAGCAAAGCUUGUUGGGAGGCCCCGCCCGCCGUGGCGGACCCCGGACUGCGAAUACGGCAUAUGCGUGCGUUGGCAUUGGAUGGUCGUCGUUGGUUCAUGCUCGUUGACGUGCUUCGCAUCAAUCAACUAGUACCCUGGACAAUGAAUAUUGCUUGCACCCCAACCAAUGACAAGAGUUAGCGGAGUUUAUAAAAACCGAAAUCCUCCCGCUGCAGAUGUCGCACGCAAAGGGACAGAAGGAUUGACUCCAAUGAGAUCCUCGCUAUCUACAUAACGCCAUGCUGCAACAAGAGUUUUCCUCCAGGAAUUUGAAGAAUGCAGCACCUGCCGCAGCUAAAGAGAUUCGUGAGAUAAGAGCAAAAUGUAGAGUUCCACUGCAGAGCAGAAAAAAUGUACUACUUAACAGUCUGGGAAAGCAACCCACUGGAUUGAGGAAAACCACCAUUGAAGCCAACGACCUGAAAUCGUUUAGGAACCAAUUGCCAAGAUCAAGUGUUUCAACUCUUAGAGGUAGGCGAAACAGCAUGGGCUCCUUCAAUCAGAAUGAGCUCAGAAAGAUGGGUGGGAAGAUGGACACUACAUUUACAAAAGCUGCAUGCUCAAAAGAAAACCAGCUCAAUGCAACAUUUUCUCUCCCAUGUUCUGGUGACAACGAUGCCAGGCGCAAGAGCGUGGAUGAGGUUAUGCAACGGCAUGACCUGCCCAGCAUUGAUGCUGCCAGCAAUACCCUUCUGCCCGAGUCAGCACUUUCAGCCCACUUACCAGAUAUCCCUAUCGAGCCGCAUAAUCUGUCUGGUUUAUUACCCAGCUUUGUCAAACAAGAGUGUUUGCGUAUAGCUGCUCAAAUGAGCAAUGAAAGCAACUAUGCACGAAAUCCACGCCUCAUGGACAAUUCUAGAAUAGAUCAAGAGCCUGUGAUUGAUUUCUCGGUACUCUCGUGUUCAGACAUCUCUCCAGUAAAAUCCCCACAAAUUCGCUAUACCGCUGAGUUGCCAGGAAAUAGUUUAAAGGAUGCUGGAUGUCAACUAAUCCAUACUGAAGUUGACGUAAAACUUAAAGAUUCAUUUUUUAGUUCCAUGUCAGAAGAUGAAUGCAUUGUCUCAGGAAAUCUGCCCUAUUCUCCACAUAAUUUGAUUCAGUUUGAUGACACCACCAUGCUGAGCGACCCUCAUGAUCUCAAGGAUGAAGAUACAAAUGUGUCAAAGUCGGAAGGUUAUUCCAGAAAUCUUGUGAGCUUGUCGCCCACCUGUAGACCUUACUUGAGUAAGGGAGAUUUAAUGGAAUCAAAUGAAGCCAUGGUUUUCUAUGAUACAUCAAAUAUGCUGGCAGAGAAUGAAUGCACUGAUAAAAGUGUCAUCGAAACAAAGACUUCUACAAACUCCAAAAUAUCUCUCUCUAAGACAGACUUGCUCUUGUGUAAAGGAUCCUUGCCAAGCCAUGACAAUCUAAGUGUGCCAAAACCGAGUUUUGGUCUGGGAAAUGAAUUCCAGACUCCAACUGAUCAGACUAAUAUUGUGCCCAGUGUUAGUUGCGGAGACUUGAUCAAGUUGAAUGAAACCAUGACUCUGGCAAAUGUAACAUUUGAGGUAUUAAAACAUGAAACCAGCUAUGGAAAUUAUCUCUCGGCUUCCAUCUUGUCGGAUUCCAAGAUGUCCCUGAAUGUCCAAGAUGAUGUGCAAUUAAAUGGAACAAUGACGGCAUUUGAUCAUAAUGCAACAUUUGAAAAGUCAAAGCAUGAAGACUUUCUUGGUCAUGAUGGCAAAGCGACUGCCUCGAUGAGUUGCAAGUUGAUUCUAUCCACAACCACAGAGCUUCAAGCGGCUGAAAUCGUGGCAGGGAAUGACUGUAAAGAUGCUACGUUUGAUACAUCAAAGCAAGACUAUGAUUUGGGAAAUGAACCCAACAAUGCCACUUGCUUGUUGCCUCCAUCUAUUGGAGAUAAAGUGGAAUUAAAUGGUACCAUAACUCUGGAACAUAAAAAUGCAACGUUUGAUACUUCAAAGCAUGAGAGUAAUUUGGGUAAUGACUGCAGCAAGACCACUCCCUUGUUGCCUCCAUCACCAGGUGAAAAAGUGCAAUUAAAUGAAACCGUGAUUGUGGACCAAAAAAAUGCAACGCUUGAUGUAUGGCAGCUUGAGAGCUGCGUUGGAGGUAAUGUCAGUGACAUCACUGCCUCGUCACACUGCAGGCUUACAAGUCAAGUGGUGCAGUUAAACGGAAGCAUGACUGCGACCAAUUCUGAGAUUGCGAGAUUUGAGUCAUCAAAGGAUGGUAUCGGCUUGGAAGUUAAAAAAACGGGCAAAACUACCAACUUGUCCAGUUGUACGCCGUCUCUAUCUGCAAGAGACUUGGAUGGUCUCGUACCACUGAGCAAAUGUGAGGGUAGUACUUUAAUUUCUGCAGCAGAGUUGCGGGGAAUCCAGUCUAACAGUGACAGUAGUACGUCAAACAAUACAUAUGCUGCGGGAAAUUUGGGAAAAGAUGAUGCGGCGUGUUCUGUAAAAUGUGAAGGCAACCAAGGCAAUGGUGGAAACAUCAACAGUUCCAGAGGACCUCCAGACCUGGUCAAAAAUCCACAUUUGAGAAAUUCUAUGCACAAUGAGGAACUUGAUGCAGUGAAUUCAGAAUGGGCUCCAGGCUGCAUGUCGACCCCAAAUAUUGCAGUGAAGUAUAGUUUUAUAGAAAAUCCACCAUUUGACUACUCCUUCCAGACCUCGUCCUCCACCCUUCAGAAUGACACCCAUGUUGCAGUUGGUGAUUGUUCAAAUAAACAAGCUCCCAAGGGUGACUCGAGUUCAGAAUCUAAUGAGAACAAACCUAAGUCUUCCAGUGGCAAAGCCAUAAAUGCACCACUACCUGAUAAUCAGUUGCGAGAAUCCAAAGCAGUAACUGCAGGUUCCUCCAAACCUUUUUCCAACCUUCCUAUAACCAGAAGGAAAAAUGGCAACCCAGGAGCGACGUCUGUGGAACAUAAAUGUAGUGGUGAAAAGAAGUCGACACCUUUGUCUACUGGAACCUCUAGACCAAGUUGUUCUUCGAUGGGUAGAGGAGGAAGGCCUCCGAUACAACCACCUAACCUUUCGAAGAAGUCCCUUCCAAAGCCUCGUCUAGUCCCAGGAAGGCCAAGUAGUGUUGUAGGGACAGGGCAAAGGCCACCCAGCAACCAACUUCCAUCAAGCAAGACUUCAGUCAACACCAAAGUAAGUUGGGUUUUUUUUAACUGUAGUCUUUUCAUGCCUUUCAGUGAUUCUAGAUUAGUCUCUUCAUACUGCAGCAGGUUUUGGAGGCAAUAAGUACAACACUCAAUGCCAACGUAUAGUAAUCUGAGUAAGGCAUCUCCGGAGGGAAGGAGUGGGUGACGUUUCAGGUCGAGGCCCAUUAGAUCAGUCUGAAGAAGGGUCUUGACCCAGGCCUCAGUGAUGUGUUUUGAGUAGUGGGUGGAAGAAGGAAUAAAGUUCUCCAACUAAACAUCUCGACUAAAGUCAAUGAUUUUGUUUAGAACUUGUGUUUAAAAAUCAUCCUUUGGAAAAUAUUCAAAAGGCCAGGCAAUGUCUGAAGAAAGGGUUUGUAUUUCAGAUUGAUCAUUCAACAGAGGCUUAAGAGCAACUGUUUAUCACUAAAUGCUACCUGGUAUCUUCUGUUUGUUUUAUCUGCACCAUCACAUUAUUCUGCACCAAUACUGGCACUGAAUUUUAAUUCUAAUCGUUUUAGCCAUUUUAAGCACAAGGCCACAUACCCGAUGCCUUGAAAAAGUGUUUAGAUAAUAGGUGCAGGAGUAGGCCAUUCAGCCCUUCAAGCCAGCACUGCCAUUCAAUGUGAUCAUGGCUGAUCAUCCACAAUUAGUACCCCGAUCCUACCUUCUCCCCAUAUCCCCUGACUCCGCUAUCUUCAAGAGCCCUCUCUUGAAAGUAUCCAGAGAACUGGCCUCCACUGCCCUCUGAGGCAGAGGUUUAGUUUAGUAUAGAGAUGCAACGUGCCAUUUGGCCCACUAGGUCCAGCAGACCAGUGGGCCCCAUUCACACUAGCAUAAUCCUUCACACUAGGGGCAAUUUACAAUCUUUUCAAAUCAAAGCCAAUUAACCUACAAAUAGGUACAUCUUUGUGGGAAGCUGGGAAGGAAUGGAGCACCCAGAAAAACCCACGCAGUCACAGGGAGAACGUACAAACUCCAUACAGGCAGCACCAGUUGUUAGGAUCGAACCAGGGCCUCUGGCGCUGUAAGACAGCAACUCGACAGCUGCGCCGCUGUGCUUACUGCCAUUUGGAUAGUUCUGUAUGCCUUUUCAUAGAGCAAUAUUUAUAAUGGAGAAAUCUUUAUUUUUUUGCAACUACUGUUCUCUUUCAGAUACCUAUGAAAACAGAGCCUAACGUUAUCAGCAAGAUACCUGGAAUUAAGAAACAAUCGCCACAUGCAACUUCAGAGGAGCCUACCCAGGAACCAAAAAAAUCAGACUCUGAACUGGCUCAACUCUUCAGUGUGGGUACGGCUGGUCCUUCAAACACCAGAAAGAAUAUCCACACACGUCAUGCUUCAGCCUCCAACAAUGUUAUCACUGGCAUAAAGCGGCCGGGCAGUGCAAUGGAGCAGAAGAGGCAAUGCCCAUCUCCAAAGAGACCCAAGGCCGUGGAAAAGCUGGAGAAACUCAGCGGGUGCAGCAGCAUCUAUGGAGCGAAGGAAGAUAUGCCUACCUUGAAGAAGUUCUCCUCACAAGAUAUGCCUACCUUGAAGAAGUUCUCCUCACAAGAUAUGCCAUUUGCUUUCUUCACUGCCUGCUGUACCUGCAUGCUUACUUUCAGUGACUGAUGAACAUGGACCCCCCAGAUCCUGUUGCACUUCCCCUUUUCUCAACUUGACACCAUUUAGAUAAUAAUCUGCCUUCCUGUUUUUGCUACUAAAGUGGAUACUCUGACAUCACUGAUGUCAGGCUAACUGGUCUAUAAUACCCUGUUUUCUCUCCUGCCGUUCUUAAAAAGUUGGAUAACAUUACCUACCCUCCAACCCACAGGAACUGAUCCUGAAUCUAUAGACCAUUUGAAAAUGAUCACCAAUGCGUCCACGAUUUCUAGAGCCACUUCCUUAAGUACCCUGGGUUGUAGACCAUCAGGCCCUAAGGAUUUAUCAGCAUUCAGUCCCAUCAGAAAACCAAUUUCUUGCCUAAUGUGGAUUUCCUUCAGUUCCUCCAUCACCCCAGAUCCUCUAGCCACUACUAUAUCAGGAAGAUUGUUUGUGUCCUCCUUAGUGAAGACUGAUCCAAAGUACCUGUUCAAUGCAUCUGCUAUUUUAAUGCUCCACUGAAAGUUGUUGCUGUUCUUUGGGAGGGGCUGCUGGUGCCUGCUGAACCUCAUCAAUGGGUUACACGUUUAUGCUGAUCAAACUGGUGAUGAGAAAAUGUGAAGCAAAACAUUUUGCCCCUAUCACAGUUGCGAAGAUUUCGGAAAGAGAGCAGUCAUACUUUGUGGCAUUAAUUCGUAGGAUGUGGAAAGAGAAUUGUCCAACUUGAAAGAAAGCUUCAGCUGUUUUGAGCAGGGCUCUUUUUUCCAUUCCAGCACAACUUCACAGGAAAAUCAAAGAACUCGAGGAGAAGGUCGCUGUUAGAGCUAGAAAAUGCUUCACUUCGUCAGAGAGUGUCCCAACAUUGGCCUUGAAGAUUCCAAUGUUUAACACUAUAUCUGAUGCCAACACAGCACUGCUUAAGUGAUGAUGUCCACAACUGUUUCCAUAUUAAUGCACUGCUAGUAUUACAUUUUGCCUAAGAUUUAAAUUGUUGCAUGUAUCGCCCACAUCACAUUGUUGCUUAGCAUCUCAAAACGUUAUAUCGGUAUUUGUUAAGCAACUUCAUUCAUGCAUAUCUUGCCUGGAGAACCUCAGGAACUAUUUCAGUCAUGAAACAUUAGUCUUAAGUGGCAGGAAGCAAGACACUUCCAACAUAUUAAAAUAAUCUUUUGGAUGGUUAAUAGUGGUGUGCAUUAAUAUCCUACUUGUUUUGAAUUAACUUUACCCAUAAUACGCACCUGUGAAUGAUUCUCGGAAUUAUCAGCUAACUACUACUUUAGUUUUCAACCAUAACCUGGUUCUCCAAACCUGCAGUGUUGGUUAACGUAAUAUAUUCACAUGGAAAGCCUUAAUGUGCUAUUUGUCUGCCUAUUGUCUGUGGUAGUUGUGUAUGUGAAUGUCCAACUAAGGACUCGCUGCAGUCAGAUUAAUGUUACAACCUGCAAAUGCCUCGAUUUAACUUGUUUCCUGUGUCUGGUUUUUCAAUGUUUACAUUAUUUAUGCACAAUGGGUUUAAAAAACUUAUAAACAAAUAAAAAUAUAUGAAUCACUAAUCAACUCGUUCGUGAAGGUAACUUGCUUCAUUUUUUGGGCAUGAUUUGACAGUUCAUCACUUUCGUAACAGAUGGCAGGUGAGUGAGUGAGUUGAGCUUUGGCAUUUUCAUUGACUGAAAAGUAAAGAAACUGGGUCAUUGGCUCAUCGAGUCUACGCUGUCCAUUGAUCACCCGUUAAUACUAAUUCUCUUAUCAAAGUCAAAAGUCAAAGACAAUUUUAUUCGUCACAUGCACCCAAAGGUGCAGUGAAAUGAAUUUGCCAGCAGUGAUACACGUUAAAAAGAACACACAAUACACCAUAAGAUUUAAUGCAAACAUCCAUCACAGCAUUCUUGACUGUGGUGGAAGGCAACAAAGUUCAGCCAAUCCUCCUCCCUUGUUCACCUGUGGUUGGAGCAAUGAACUCUCUGUAGUCGCCACUACGUACGGCCCGAUGUACAGGCCCUCUAGUCGGCAUGAUC